CCACUCCCCCUCGCCAGCUCCGCCCCUCCUGUCGCACAGGUCGAGCCCGUCCCGCCCCAUCACACCCACCGCUCCUCCCAGGCCCCGCCCCAGCGGCGGCAUUCCCGCCUCCCAAGCCCCGCCCUCUCCUGUCUGAUCCAGCCCCUCAGACCUGCCGCUCCUCUCAGGCCACGCCCAUCAACUUUAAUCCUUCUCCUCCGGCCACGCCUCCUCAAGGCCCAGUCCUUCUUCAGGUUGUGCUGACUCCGCCUCUCCCUCGAAAGCCGCAAGUAAACUGUAUCAGGCAUCCGGUUUUUCUACAUCAGGAUAACAACAGCUCACUGAACAUCAGAUGGCGAUGUCAGCAGUAGCUGGACCAGUAGGAGAAGCAGACCUCAGGGCAAUAUGAUGAAGGAGUAGAACUGAUCAUCAAGAUAAAUGAAAAUUCCUCUUCAUCUGCUCAACCUUGUCCCCCUCAUCCAUCAGAGACCUACAGCGGACUGCUUCUCAGGUCUGGGGACCAUGCCACAUUCCCGGGACUACAUCAUCAAAACCAGAUAGAGUCACUGCCUCAUUGAACUUGACAUCUAGACACUGGUACAACGGAAUAGACACUAUAUUUACAGAGUCCCCCGCUGGCCUGAAGUGCACCUGGAGUUUGCCAAGUCCUCUGGUCUGGCUGCUCUGAAGGCGUCUGCCUGCCGCUUCCUCUUCAACAUUAGGAUUCUGAUCAUGUGCUACCAUGCCUGGCUGCCUUCACAUGUAUUCUGGGACCAAACCCAUGCCACCAUGCUUGUCCAGCUAGCACAUCGCUGUCAGAACUGUCUUCCUGUCUCUGCAAAUUGCAGUCUUUUUAGUAACUGCAUCCUGAUGCUAAAAUGAUACAAGGAGGCUAACUUAAUCAUAUAGUCUGCUCACUUAAUAUAUCCCCGAAUUAGUAUUAUAUCAUUUAA